CUUUAGCCCCGAUGGGAGUGAAAAUCCUCGCAUCUCGUCUUUUGGGACGAGAGGAGAGAUUGUAGCGGACAGCGGGAAUCCAU
rfam:Flavobacterium sp. EM1308 contig00159, whole genome shotgun sequence.